GUUUCCCAAACUUGGGAUCAAUUCCUUCAUUUAUGGUCCAGAUCCCUGCUCCUCUGGGCUGGGUGUUGCAAUUUCAGCUCAAUUCCUCAGCCCAUGGACAGGAGCAGGUUUGAUAAUCCCUAGUGGAUUAUCAAAUCCCGUGUGGGAUUCAGGCCAAGCAGGUGAGUUUGGGGUGGCCACACUCCUGCCCCAGCUCAGCAGAACACAAACCUCAUUUUGGUGCCCUCAUCAGUGCCCUGAACCAUCCUCCUCCUCCUCUCCUCUCCUCCUCUUCCUCUCCUCUGCUUCCCUUUCCUCUUCUUCCUCUCCUUUUACUUCAUCUCCUCUCCUUCCUCUCCUUCCUCUCCUACUCUUCCUCUCCUCUGCUUCCUCUCCUUUACUUCAUCUCCUCUCCUUCCCUUUCCUCUUCUUCCUCUCCUUUACUUCAUCUCCUCUCCUUCCCUUUCCUCUUCUUCCUCUCCUUUACUUCAUCUCCUCUCCUUCCCUUUCCUCUUCUUCCUCUUUUACUUCAUCUCCUCUCCUUCCUCUCCUCUGCCCUCUCCUCUUCUUCCUCUCCUUUACUUCAUCUCCUCUUCUUUCUCUCUUCUUCCUCUCCUCUUCUUCCUCUCCUUUAAUUCCUCUCCUUCCUCUCCUCUGCUUCCUUCUCCUUCCUCCUCUUCUCCUCUUCUCCUCUGCUUCCCUCUCUGCUUCCUCUCCUGUCCUUCUUCUCUUCUUCCUCUCCUUCCUCUCCUCUUCUUCCUUCCCUUUACUUCAUCUCUGCUUCCUCUCCUCUGCUUCCUCUUCCUCUCUUCCCUUCUCUGCACCCUUCUCCUCUUCUUCCUCUCCUCUUCUUCCCCUCCUUUAAUUCUUCUCCUUCCUCUCUUCUUCU
rnacentral:lncRNA from 1 species